GUAGGUGAACCUGCGGAAGGAUCAGUAGAGAACCGCCGGCGCAAGCCGGCUCUACCCCACACACACCUGUGAACCGUAAUCUGGACGCGGACUAGCCCCCGGGCGAAACCGUCCUCUCACAAAACGUCUUAUAAUGUCAUGAACGUAGUCUUAUUUUAACAAAUAAAACUUUCAACAACGGAUCUCUUGGCUCCC
rnacentral:misc_RNA from 1 species